GCCUGUUAAAUAGGGAUUGCAUCGGACUGUCGAUCCGAAGGUUGAGGGUUCGAGUCCCUUCGGCC
rnacentral:tRNA from 1 species